AUACGGAGGGGGCUAGCGUUGUUCGGAAUUACUGGGCGUAAAGCGCGCGUAGGCGGAUUGAUCAGUCAGGGGUGAAAUCCCGGAGCUUAACUCCGGAACUGCCUUUGAUACUGUCAAUCUUGAGUUCGAGAGAGGUGAGUGGAAUUCCUAGUGUAGAGGUGAAAUUCGUAGAUAUUAGGAAGAACACCAGUGGCGAAGGCGGCUCACUGGCUCGAUACUGACGCUGAGGUGCGAAAGCGUGGGGAGCAAACAGGAUUAGAAACCCCUGUAGUCC
rnacentral:rRNA from 1 species